UUAGGGAAUACGAAUGGAUUGAUAAUAUCAAACUUUUUUUCAGACUAUAGUUUUAU
rnacentral:tRNA from 1 species